rnacentral:rRNA from 1 species
GACGAACGCUGGCGGCGUGCUUAACACAUGCAAGUCGAACGGAAAGGCCCUGCUUUUGUGGGGUGCUCGAGUGGCGAACGGGUGAGUAACACGUGAGUAACCUGCCCUUGACUUUGGGAUAACUUCAGGAAACUGGGGCUAAUACCGGAUAGGAGCUCCUGCUGCAUGGUGGGGGUUGGAAAGUUUCGGCGGUUGGGGAUGGACUCGCGGCUUAUCAGCUUGUUGGUGGGGUAGUGGCUUACCAAGGCUUUGACGGGUAGCCGGCCUGAGAGGGUGACCGGCCACAUUGGGACUGGGAUACGGCGCAGACUCCUACGGGAGGCAGCAGUGGGGAGUAUUGCACAAUGGGCGGAAGCCUGAUGCAGCGACGCCGCGUGCGGGAUGACGGCCUUCGGGUUGUAAACCGCUUUCGCCUGUGACGAAGCGUGAGUGACGGUAAUGGGUAAAGAAGCACCGGCUAACUACGUG